GACAAUUAGAUAAACGUGGGUUUGAAAUGGUCGUGCUGAAAUUGGACUGGAUUUUCUCCCAUUUGGGCUUCUAACAAUUAGAUAAGUCUUUCUUUCUUAUUAUUAUCACCAUAAAAUAUCUUACCCAGAAUCUUAAACUUUCCGAAAGCAGACAAAACCCGCGGGAGAACUUCCAAAAUCAAACGUGGGCAUUGGGUUGUCCUUAUCCUCUUAUUUGGAAUCGUCUUGUUUUGUGCCAGUGAAAUUUAGACACGUCAUCAUCCCCCCCACCUCAACCCGAGGGUUGCGGUUUUCUUUGCUUUUUCCUCUGAUAAAAGCGUCCAUUUAAGUCACCAUACCGGUUGUUUACGUAAAACAGCGUCGGAUUCAAGUUCUUCUCUCUCUCUCUCUCUGUCUAUAUAUAUACACUUAACCAACUUUCUCCAAAUACUUUAAACUUCUUGAAAACUAUCUCUCCUUGUAAUUUUUCAUGGAAAAAGUUUUUCGAGAGUGUUUGAUUACUUAUGAGCUUGAGGUACGCGAGCAAGGUGUUUUAACAGGCGGUGAUGAGGGUGAUGCAGGGGAUGAAAGACCAGGCAUCAAAGCAAGCAAGGCGUUUCUCCAAUACAGUCAAUUCCGGGGCUUUCAAGACUGCCAAGAACGAGAGGCUCAAGCAGGCAGAGGAGUCUCUUUGGAUUGUUAUGUGCUUGAGUUAGUCCUACCUGAGCAUCAAUUCCUCAUGUUUCCAGGGUGCUUCUAAAGAAGAUCAAACUAAAAUUAAAGACGAAUUGUAUACGUUCGAGCAAGACAGGACCUAUGGUUUUAGGCCAGCCCAAUUUCAGGCCUAUUGCUAAUUUCCCAUGGACCCAGAACCCAUGUAUCUAAAGUAUUGGACAAAGCCAUGCUCCAUCUCCAUCAUAUCAACGUAAGGCUUGAUUUGAUAAACUUCUUUGCGUCUCCAUCUUCCAUAAUAUUGAGGCUCCAAAUACAGGAUAAUUCUUCUUGUGAUCUUCUUUUGUUUGAAACUAUAAACAGAAAGUAUAAUUUUACACUUACUUUCUACAACCCUUUAUCAAACUCCAUUGCUAUCCAAUUCUAGAAAGCUUCAAAAACUAGAUAACACACAAACCAGUUUUUCACAAGGCAACAAGUUGUUUACUAGAAGAAAACCAGUCAUAAGAGUCUGUAGAAGCCAAGGUGAAGGAGAGAAGAAUACAGAAAGGAGAAGUUUCCUGCGUCUAGAAAUUAAGCACGAUCAUGAAAGGCUUCUUUUAUGACAUCUUAGCAUGAUGAGACUAUAUAUAGUGAUGUCUUGUACAUGUUUUGAACGCUUAGCUUAACCAAUUAUGAUUUGUUUUCCAGAUAUCGUCUUUAAAUCUACUAAGAGUGAUGUCAGAGCAAGAAGAUAUUCAAUUGAGGAGCUGAAUGCUGGUAGGGUACGUGACUGUUUUGUGAAGGAUAAAUUGAAAAGCAAACAAAAUAUAUCUUUUAUUUUUUAGGUAUUGAAGCAUUUUAAAGCAGUUGGAGGGGUGAGGAGCCUUGGAUUAAGAGUAUAAUCGGGUUAAAUCGAUAUAAAAAAAAAAUUUAAAUUCGAACUCAAUUUGAAAUUUAUUAUUUAAAAGUUUAAACGUGAUUAAAUUUUAAUUUUUAAAUUAGAAUUUGAGUUAAGAUAAAAAUUAAAUUAUUUAAACUCGUUUGAUUUCAUUCAUUUAAUAAAAAUGAGUUUAAUUCUCAUAUUCAAUUUGAAACUUAAUUACAUGUUUAAAUUGAGUUUAAGCUCAAAUUAAUAUAUAAAAAUAAAAUAAUAAUCUUUUAAUUAAAAUAAUAAAAAUAUUAAAUUUAUGAGCUAUUCAAAUAAAAAAUUAAAAUAUUUAAACUAAACUCAUUCAAUAAAUCAAACUAUUUAAAUUCGAAUUCGACUCAAACUAAAUUUAAAUUUUAUUUGAGUUAAAUUUAAAUAAUUUAUAAAUAUUAAUAUAUUAUUUAUACUCAAUAAAUUAUGCUACUCAAAUUUGAAUUUAACUCAAGUUAAAUUUGAAUUUUAUUUUAAUUAAAUUUAAAUAAUUUAUGAGUAUUAGGUAAAUUUUCUUUUUUUUUUUUUAAAUUUUUAUUUGCUAUAGAUUAGUUGCUUAAGAGGACCAAUCCCUGCCUAGAAUUGGUUGGGCCACGACAGACUCUCUAAAGUCAACGUUGUUUUCAACGCCAAAUUGAAUUUCCGCGUCAUUCCCACUAAUUAUUUCCAUUAUUACAUCCUUGAUGACAACUCACAAAAACACGAAAAUAAAUAAAUAUCAAUCCAAAUAGACAAAAAUCAAUUUCUGUUUACAUUUUUGAAAAAUUUUUUAAGGAAAUGAGAAUUCAAAUUUGUUUUUUCAUAAAAAUAAUUAUAUUUGAAUUAAAUAUUUUUAAAAUUAAAAUUAUAAUAAAAGUUAUUAUUUAUUUCCGAUUUUUCUCUUCCCUGCUGAGUAAUAAACAAAACACAAAAACGCGUGACUGUUAAAUAUUGAUUUUAAUAAAUUGAUAUUAAAAUUACUAGUUGUUCGACACGUUUGGGAAGAGGGAAAGGUAAGGAAAAUCCAAAAAAUGGUGUCACAUCAUCUUGAAAAAAAAAAAAAAAAAAGGAAAAAAACCCGAACUUUUAAUUUUAAGGUAGGGACCAGGAACACCAAAAUUUCUUGACCAUUUCUCUCAAAUCAUUCAAAGUGACACAAGUUUGAUCACUAAAAUUUGUCAUUAAUUGAACUAAUCCCACCCAAAUUCCAUUAAUUAAGACGUUAAUCUAAUCCAACAGCGUCAAUAGAAAAUCCCACCUGCCCCUGUUUUUCCUCGUCAACUCAACUCCAGUAAAAAAGCAGUAAAAAAGGAUAGAGGAGAAAAAAAUUCAAAAAAAAAAAAUUUAAUUUGAAAUUGUGAUAUUUAAUUUAGUUAAGAUUGAUUUUUUUAUUUAAGUUGAAUACAUUUAAAUAUUAAAUUUAAAUUAAAUUUUGAAUUGAAAUGUAAAAAAUAAAAAAAUUAAAUUGAAUUAAAAAUAUAUUUUUUUAUUAAUAUAUUUUAAAUUUUAUAAAAUAAAAUAAUUAUUAUAUAUAUAAAUUUAUUUAAAAAUAUUAAAGAUUUUAUUAAAAUAAUAUAUAAAAAUAAAAAAUUAUAUUUUAAAAAUCGAUAAAUUUAAAUUUAAAUUAAUUUUAAAAAUAAAAUCGAUUGAAAUUUUGAAUUAAAUUUAAAAAAUUUAUAAUAGUAUUCAUUAUAUAAUCCGAAUUUUUAUCACGUUUAAAAGGAUAAAAUAACAGUGACGGAAAACGGCGCCGUUUAAAAAGCCCCCGCUAAUGAGGCAAGGAGAGGGUAAAAAAAAAGUUUGGGAGGGUGAAAAAACGGACUUCAAAUUCUCACAAAGUCAAAUACGGUAGAAUCCGUGCUUUGAAGUCCGAUUCUCUUUUUCUUUUUCCUUUCACGAGUUUCUCGAUUCAAAUACCAGAGAAGUGCUGUUCUUUUUUGUCCUUUAAAGUUGGCAACGCGUAAAACCUUGCCGUACAUGUGCUUGUAAGGGAGAUGGCAAUAGAAAUUGAGCAAAAGUCACCGUCCGAUGGCAAAGUUUGGGGAUUUUUUAAGCUGCCGUUUCGGCAAACCGGAAACAAUACCAGUACCACGUCGUCAUCUACCUCGGCGUUGAAUCUACAAGGUCAAAGUCAACCUCAUGUCGAAGGAUCGAACCAUCACGGCUCUGCCAAUUCUGUUUCCUCCGUUGCGAAGUCGCUCUUGCCUACUCGGCGUCGGCUCAAGCUUGAUCCAGCUAAUAAGCUCUAUUUUCAAUGUAAGUACUUCAUUAUUUGAAUAAAUAAAACGAAACUAAUGUCUCAGAUUAUAGAUUUUCCGCUUGUUUGAUUAAACUAAAGCAAAAAUUUUGAUGCUUAUUUCUGGAAAUCGACAGUAAAGUCAACAAACUUUAAAGAGUAGAGCUCGCUGAGAAUUAAGAUUCGUCAUAUGUAUCGUGUAAAAAUACUGAAAUUAGUGUAUUCCUCCCGAAUUUUACACGAAAAUUACCGAUUUAUUAGUAUCGACAAGAAAAUAUAAAAUAUAUAUUUUUUGAUUUUGUUAAACUUAUAUGUAGUUAUUGCAAAAAUUUUAGGUCUCACCACCGUGUCCUACUUACAUAACGUGUGUUGUGUAUCAUGUUUUAAAUUACCAGCUUUAAUCAAGAUUGCUGGGUAAAUUUUGUAGUUAUAGUUUUUCUUCUUUGCUACUAAUUAUUGAAAAAAAAAAAAAAAAGCUUUUGUUUUUUUCACUUUGAAAUGAAAAUGACUAUAUAUUAGGAUGUAGAACGACUUGUUGACUUAACUCAGAAAGUCUUUUGUUUGAUUUAUUUCGAAAGAACUUGCAUCCAAAUUUGAAGUGUUGAGAAUUAAAGGCCAUUAUUUGAGGUAACUAAUUUCAAAUUAGAAUUUGCUUUUUCUUGAUUGCAUAUCUUUGUUUUGUAUAUUCCAAGAUGAACCUGGGAAACAGGUGAGGAGUGCAGUGAGGAUUAAAAACACGAGCAAGUCAUAUGUAGCGUUCAAGGUACCCCUUAAACCUUUGGAACAUUUUGUUUUCUGUUUGUUGUUUUUGUCUUUCUUGUUGUUCAUAUUUUGUUAUGUUAUAAUUAAUAAGUUAGAGAUAGAAGUGGAAGUGAGUCUGUUAUAGUUAAAUGUAGUAUAUUAUAAACAUUGCUUUGAUGAGUCUUGUAAUGAGUCCUUUUGUUUCUGUUGGUUUAGUUUCAAACAACAGCACCAAAGAGUUGUUUCAUGCGCCCUCCUGGUGCUAUUCUUGCUCCGGGCGAGAGCAUCAUAGCAACGGGUAAUUGCUUCUCUACACUUUUAUGCAUACCCUUUACUUGUGGUUCAUAUUAUGCAUUGGCACUAUUAUAUAUUUUCACUAGUCAUCGUAUCUUCUGAAAGAUUCUUAUGAAUUUCUCUUCUUGUUUUGGAUGGAUUUUCUAGUCUUCAAGUUUGUGGAGCUUCCUGAGAACAAUGAAAAACCAAUGGAACAAAAGAGCAAGGUUAAGUUUAAAAUCAUGAGUCUCAAGGUGAAAGGUCUGAUGGACUAUGUUCCUGAACUGGUGCGUGCAUAGAACUUCUAUAAAAAUUUUUUUUAUAAUUCACAUGAUUUUCAUUUUCUAUCUUGGUGACGAAGAAUAAGACUUUUUAAUUUGACCACAUUUAGAUGAUGAUGAGCUUAUAUAGUUUAUGUAGUUAAUAUUUAAAGUUCUCUGCUAACAAGUAGCUUUACGGGAUGACAUUACAUUUAAGCAGUGCUAUAGUUUGAUUGGAUUUCUUGUAUUUCCAAGGCUUCUUAAUCUGAAGCAUAAAAUGUCUCUAAGGAACAAGCUUGUAUAUCCGAUAUUCUUCUUUUUCUGGAUUUGUACCUGCUGUCUGCAACAUAAAGAAACUACUGUGCUUCGGGGCCAGAUUUUUUGCAUUUUGGUCAUCAAGAUGUCUUGGUGUUGCUGUAAAUAGACUUUCAAAGGUGACAUAUGCCCAAUUGUCAUGGUUGAUUGGAUGAGAAUCUCUUGUUCAAUGCUGAUUUUGGGCCCAUUUUAAUAGAGGCAUGAAUGAUUUUUCAAUUAUUUUGUGGGUUCUGGCUGCCUUAGUUUGAUGCACAAUUUAGAAUAUUCUUUUACCACCUAUACAAUUGAUUGCUUCUCUACCUCUCUGAAAUUUUUUCCCUUGGAGGUUGAAUAUUUGUAACCUUAUUGUGUAAUUAAUCUUAGGUGCUUGUUUUUCGCAGUUUGAUGAGCAGAAGGAUCAAGUGGCAAUAGAGAAAAUAUUUCGGGUUGUUUUUCUAGAUCCUGCUCGUCCUUGUCCUGUAAGUACUGUUAGCAUCUUUCUAUCUUAUCCUCAGCUAUAUGUGCUUUUAUUCGCACUUGCUUCUGCUUUUAGACAUUUGCAUGUCAACACUUUCCACCUGCAUGAUGCUUGAAAUGCAUUAUCAAUGUUGUAGCAAACUAAUAACCCAUCACAAAAUAAAAGUCUAAACAAAAAAGAAUGCAUAAUUAGCAUUAAUAUUUACGGGUUUCUGCCUCGUACCUUUAUGAAGGCUUUGGAAAAAUUGAAGCGCCAAUUAGCUGAUGCUGAUGCUGCACUUGAGGCUCGCAAAAAGCCUCCAGAGGAUACAGGUCCAAAGAUUAUUGGGGAAGGACUUGUCAUAGAUGAAUGGGUAAGUUUCUUGUAAUCAUCUGAUGAAAAUUAUGCUUACAGAUGUUUUACUUCUAUGAUAUGCAUUACUUAUGACUGUCAAUUUCUAUUGUGUAGAAGGAACGUAGGGAAAGAUACCUUGCUCAACAGCAGGUUGAAGGAGUAGACUCAGCAUAAAAGUGGCAAUUCUUCAUUAGUUGCUUUGAUAUGUGAUGGAAAUUUGAUAUAAUCCUCUCUUGCGUAUACCCCUUAAAUCUUUUCAUGUAACGUGAAGGGUGUUGUAGUGGAAGAAUGAUCAUCUUUUGUUAUUGUAUAAAAGUGAGCUGAAUUUUCUGUGAUUGGAGACUUGAAACUCAGCUAGUUUACAUAUGCUUUGUAGAUAAUGUGAUUUUGUCGCUUCCCCAAGGGAAUAAAACUUUUCUUCAUGGGAUGUAAUACACUAAAAAGAUGUCAAAGUGAGUAGUAGUGUCUCAAAGCAUAUUCUACAAUCUUCGCAUCAAUUAUCUUUAGCAAAUGUUUAAUAUAUUGGGUAAUUAGUGCCAAGCGAUUUGGAUAUGGGAUUGAAGACGUUUUCUUUUGAUUUUCCCUAGCCAAAGCCUGUGCUUGUCAUUGUGAAUGCAUAAAUGGUCAAUGAUGGCCCAUUGAUGAAGGGAUUCUUUUGGGGAUAAAUACCAGCGGUUUCGUGUACUUUAUGGUAGGGUUGGGAAAGGCGCCCGCAAUUUAAAACGUCGAAGGAGAGUGAAAAACCGUUGGCUUUCCAUUGGCAUUAAUCAGGAGGAUACCCAAGUCACGCCAGGGAUGGCCUCUCCAUUCCUCCUGUUUCUUGCCCUUUUUAUAACCGAAGUGACAUUGUUUGUUUCGUCACUAUCAGGAAUUUUUGUUAUCGUUGCCCUUGUUAAUGCCACACGACCCUAUCCUAUCUUCCCUUUCAUUUGUCAUUUGUAGCAUCUUUCCUUCUUUUCCCAACGCUUUUUUUCCUGGUUUUACAGUGUGUGAAGUUUGCAGAUUGGGUGGGGACAGAGUGUCAACCUUCCUUAAUACUCUGCUCAUUCAGGCCACUCGAGCAUAGCUGUUCGGCUCUGGGAUUGCCACGUUUUUUACUGAUAAUGUUUCUUGGAAAAAAAAAACCCGCUGAGCAAAUCCCUUUGGAGUUUGGACGACUCCAAUCAAUAAUUAAAAAAAUUGUCCCGCCACCAGUAAAACCAGAAACCAUGGUUGCCACGUGGUUUUGAUGUUGACAGGAUCCUCAAAACCACUAUCCUCGCCAACUGAUAAUGUUUCAUUGAUCUCUAUAUAGUUUAGGGGUUCCUGAUCCUCUUUUUCACAUGGUAACAAGGAUAAGUUAGAAAUCCAGAGAAACUAGGCAAUAAGUAAAGAUGAGUUAUUUGAGCAGAGUUUGUAUGGCAACUAGUGUAGCUGCAGUGGAAGGUCAUAGAGAUUAUAGCCCCAAAUGGAAUUCCAGUCUUCGACCUAUUAACGCCAGCAAGAAGGGGUAUUUUUCUGCUGUUAGUUCAUCGGAUGAUAAUAGACUUUAUGGCAGAGGCAAAUCCAAAGAGGAUAACAGACAUCAGACUGAAGAAUCUCUUCAAAGAGUGAUGUACUUGAAUUGCUGGACACAAAGCUAGACUCUGAUUAAGUGGGAAGUAGGAGCAAUCAGCCAAUUUUACAUCUACCAGUUGGUAAUCCUAACAGUCUAGUCCAUGGCAUAGACGGCCUGGAAUCCAAAAAGAGUGACCGACUCAUCAUUAUUCUUAAGCAUCAUUACAUAAACUGCAAUGCCAAGAAGUCGACCUGUAAAACCUAUGAUUUACACUUCUACUAUUAAACUGUCGAAGAAAUUCUUGGAUGGAUUUUUUUUACAGUGGUAAAAAUUUGGUUGUUUAGCUCUUCUCUUAUUCUGUAAAUUUUGGUUCCAAUCCUUUCUAACUGUAUCCUAAUUCCAAGCCAAUCAACAUUAAUUUACUUAACUGUAGAACGAGGAAUAUAUGCCUGUGGCAAUACUUCACUUUGGCGACAUCAGAAGAUAAGAACAAGUAAUAAAUUUUGACACAGAAUCUUGACACUGAAAUGGAUAGGAAUAUAUCAAAUUUUGAAAACCAAAUACAUCUCAGUGGCAAUUGCAGGAAAGGAUAUUUUUGUUUGAUUAUGAACGAAUAGCCAAUCUAAAGAGAGUUACAUAUCUUUUCUUCUGAGCAAUUACAAAGGUUUUCGCGUCUUAACUAAAGGAAUGAUCAUGAAAGACUGCUUUCUUUCAUCUUUUGAUCGGAGUAUCAUCGUUCUAAUCGUCUUUAUAUUGUUAUUUGUGUCUAACUAAACCGUCUAUAUUUGUCACAUCUGGUGCCAAAAUUCUCUUCCCUUUCAUGGCAAGUUGAAACUGAACUAUUAUGCUAUGAGCCUUUUAGGCCAUGACCAAAGCGAUGCAAAUUGCUUACCUCUCCUCUGUAGUCUAUUCUGCUUCAAUAUUCUUAAUCUUGGUAAUUAGCAAUGCGCAUCCGCCAUGAAAUGAGAAUAGAUCACAAAGAAAAGCCGGCCUCUGGUUUUCCAAUUGGGCAGUAACCACUCAGAUAUUAACGGCCUUAUUGACUCUUUGUAUGUUACCAAGAUGAAUUUUUGCUAUAAAUAGGAGUUUAAUCCAGGAAGUUGCUCCACCGAAGAGCAGAACAACUUCAUAAGCCAAAGAAAGAACAAAAAUGCCAAAGUCCAACAACAACAUUGCCAUGCUCACCAACUUUGUCUUGAUCGUUGCUCUUUUGGCCAUUGUCUCCAUGUCUGAAAGCCGAGAAGUUGGAAGUAAGUCUCAAAUCUCAAUAAUUAGAACAAUGUUUGAACUUUUCAUUUAUGUUUAGCAUUGAAAUGCAUGCAGUUCCAAAGGGAAAGAAGAGCUCCCUAACUUGUGACAAGGUGUACGGCGUAGUUAGUGGCGACACAUGCUUUGGUGUAAUAAACAUGUUCAACUUGACCACUACAUUCUUCGAAGCAAUCAACCCCAAUCUCGAUUGUGAUUCACUCUUUGUUGGUCAAUGGCUUUGUAUUGCUGGAAAAGCAUAAUCAAGCAGCUGUUUGAACAAGAAAGAAACAGUUCUUAUGAUUCAAAGUACAUGAAUAAGUAGAAAAUAAAAUUAUCACCAUAUCGGUUGUUUUUAAUUUUCCUUUUAGUAUAACCUGCUAGCAACUGGAUUAUGUCGCCAGCUGAAGCUAUUAUCCCUUGUUUCUUUACUGGUAUUCUAGGAAUUUCAAUAGAUUUCUUUUCUUCCAUCGUAAUUUCCAAUGUUUCUCAAUUGGUGUCACUUGUUCCUUAAUUUUAGUAUUAACAUGAACGGGAAACUGCUCUGUUGCAUACAAGAUGAAGAAAAGAAAAACUGAUGUGAUGGACCAACAAUAUUUUUAAAACAAAGGAUAGCAUUAGCAUAUGAUACCCAAUUUCGAGUUUAUAUUUAAUAUACUAUCAGUGUAUUUAAUAAAUUAAAUGAUGAUAACUCAUUAAUUAACAAAUAUUAAUCAUUAAAAUAAAUGUAAAUAAAUUAAAAUAAUUUAUUCAUUAAUAAAAUAUUAUUAUCUGAUUUAUUUCAUUAAAGAAUUAUCAUUUUAUUUAUUAAUAGUAUAUAAAAUUUAUAUAUUGAGAAUAUAUCAAAUAUAAACUUAAUUUUUUUAUCACAAAAACAGUGAGAUGGAGAGGGACAAGUAACAAAAAGCAUUAAAUUCUACUUACCCACUUCUUUCCAUCCUAUUCAAAAGCAAAAUCAUGAAAAAGGGAGGUUUUGGGGACUUGAAAGAGAGAGGCAAGCAAAUUUCCCCAAAAUUAAUUUACAACAUUCAAUGUAUAGUCAUGCAAUCCUCCUUUUUGCCGCAGUGCGAGGCUGUGACCGAAUUGACAGUUAGCCAUCCCUUUUCUUCAAAAGAUUUAGCCUUUUCCUUGCCUAUGUUUUAAUAUCCUUGGUCAAUUCCUAUAUUAAUUUCGUUUCAAUUCAUUCACUGUCACGUUUGUUCACCGAAACUGUCCGUGGACAUUUAAUAUAUUGAAAUUUCCAGUCGAAACAAAGCACAAGAAACUUGGUUUUUAAUCAGGAACAAAUUAUAUAAACCUUGAUCCAAGAACAUUGAGAAACGAAUAGUAUGUGCUAGUACCAUAAGCUAAAUUUGAAAACAAAACAAAGAAAAGUGAUUCAAUCCAGGAUGAGUUACACAUUCUUUGGAACCUGGCCUUUCUUCCUCAUCUCCAAACCUCCAUUGGGGUAAUCAAGGUCUUCAACGAAUCUGGACCAGUACCAAUGUGACUUCCAUACUUGGCUCAUCUCUUCAAUUGGGAUACCCUUUGUCUCGGGCAAGAAGUAGUACACAAAGAUGGACAUUAGCACCACAAAGAAGGCGAAGAAAAGGAAGAGGCCAAAUUUCAAGUGGCAGAGCAUGGUUAAGAACACUUGAGCCACUGCAAAUGUGAAAAGCAUGUUGACAGAUACGUUGAUACUUUGUGCAGCUGAUCGGAUUUCCAAUGGGAAAAUUUCACUAGGCACCAGCCAUCCAAGGGGUCCCCAAGACCAGGCAAAUCCGGCAACAUAAAUGCAGAUGAAAAGCACCACAACAAUGGCAUACCAUUUGGGCAGGUCACCAGGGUUCCCAUUAAUUCCAAACUUAGCACCAAUGCAAGCUGCCACAACAGCCUGAAAAGCAGCAAAGAUAAAACUUAAUAACACAUUUUAGCACGAAUUGUUAUUCACAGUAGUUUCAUUGUACCUGGCAGAUCAACAUUUGAACCCCACCCUCUAGGAAAAGGAAUCUCCUUCCCCACUUAUCAACACCAUAGAUUGAAACCAAAGUUGCAGCAACGUUAACAACACCAGUGAUCACAGCAGACAUGAGGGAAGCAUCGCUUCCGAAACCAAUUGUGUUAAACAAUACCAGGAGCAUAAACAUAAUCACGUAAUGGCCAGUUAGUUGUUGAAAGAAGGGAAUUAGGAUGGCCAUGGUUAGAUGGGGCCUGUACUUCCUCUGCAAUAUGUUUUUCCAAGGGUGCUCAACUAGCUUUGAUGCAUCACUGGCAGCAACAAGGUCCCUAAAUUCCUCAUCAACAUCAUCGACCCCACGAAUUCGCUUGAGUUUCUCUCUGGCUUCCUCAGUUUGACCGCGUUCAAUCAUAGAGUUUGGUGUAUCUGGGAGGACUAGAGAUCCAAUUGUGAUGAUAAGGGCAGGGACCAUUGCACCACCCAAACUCAAGCGCCAUCCCCAGCCACCUUUGAUCUUAGCAAAGAAAUAAUUCAACACGUUGGCAAUAAGGAUACCAACUGUUAUUGACAAUUGGAACCCAAUGUUCAGUGCUCCUCUGUAUUUGUAGGGGGCCAUUUCAGAGAGGUAGAGUGGGACAGACUGUAAUAAUUACCCAAAAAAAAAAACAAUUAGUCAAAAUUAAAUUACAAAUCACCAUUAUUUUAGUAAACUAAAAGUCGGGCAGGGAAGUAAUGCAUAAAAAUUUCUUUCUCAGAGACCACAUGGCUUUGUCGAGUUGUCAAUGUUUAUUGGAUUAAAAACAAAAUUUCUUUUCAACGCAUCGAAGUCAUUCUUGUAGAAAAACCAGACACUUAAAAGCUCACUUUCAAUAACAAGCCACCAUCAUCAUAUUUCAAUUUUCUAUUCAACGCCCGAUGCAUCAAGGAGUAUACUUUAUCGGAAAAACAUUGCAAAGAGAUGUCAUGCAAGGAAAAACAAGCCAUGUCUGAAUCUGACCAGGAAAAAAAACAGUAAUAAAACUUAAACAGUGUUUUCAAGCUUCAUAUUAACACUUUAAACCAUUUAUUGGAAAAUAAUUUAUUAUAUGUCAUUAUAAACUGAAAUGGUGAGUUAUUGCUGACUUCUCAGAUCUCAAGAAAUGCAAGUUUAAAGAAGACUGGUCAGUUCCAGGGUAGAAAAAUAUCAAAUGUGUAAAAAACCCAGAUAAGCUUUUAUCAGGUAAAAAGGCAUAGAAAAGCUCAUAUUUGGUUCAGAAACAAGUUUGUAAAAACAUGUUUUUGUUGUCAUUUUCAAAGCCAAAGAAAUUGGAUGAUCUGUUAAUACUCAGAACCAUCGCAAAAAUAGAUCCGAAAGAAAAAAUGGUCAGGUUUGAAGAGGAACACAAAGAGACACGUUACACGACAAAACCCAGCAAAAAUCUAAAUAAAAAAUGAAACGAAACCAAAAAAAAAAAAAAAUUCACUCUUUUCAGACAGCACACUUUUUGUUCUCUACGAACAACUUGCAAUAAAACAAAACAAGAACUUAAGGAAAGAGCCCAAUUAGCAUACCAAUCUCAGGAUCCAAACAGGGAAGAGGAAAAAAAAAUCCAAACACAAGAUUGAGAUAAAGAGCUUGGAAGUAGAUAAUGGUUAUUACCUGAUUGGCAAAUCCAACACCGAAACCAAGUAACAUUCUACCGACAAUCAACAUCCAAACAGCUUUGGCAAAGCCAUUGAUAAGAGCGCCGGCAAAGAAAAGUAAACCACCAAAAAGCAUGGACAAUUUCCUUCCAAGCUUACGGGUGACAAUGGAGGCUACCAGGGAAGCCAAAAGAGCAGCCAAGUACAGUGAAGAUGUGAACAUCGUCAGCGUUUGGCUAUCAUAUUGGCAAUACUGAUUUGUCGACUUAUCGGCUUCCUUUUUCUCCCACACUUUUCGAAAGAACUUUUGGAGAAAUGAAGUCAUAGUCGUCACUCCACCUGUCAAAAAAAUCCAAAAAAAAAUUAAUUUCUACAUGAAGCGAACAAAGAUAAUGAGAAAGAAAAGAAGUUUUUUGAUCUUUGAAAUAUUACCUGAAAUCCCAAUAUCAUAACCGAAAAUCAAACCCCCCAUGGCUGCAACAAUGCAUGUUACAGUGACAAAUGGGGUAAGGUUUCCAAGGUACUCCUUGCCGCUACCCGGGCCAAUUCCUCCCACAGCCGGCAUUUUCGAUCUUCCUUCACUUCAAUUCUAAAGAAACAAACUCAAAACUAGGAAACAAUUAAAGGGAAAUAUAAGAUUGGAAGAGGCUAUUAACACAAAGAAAGAAUCAAGGAAAACCAAGCUAAAGAAGAUAGAGGUUUUAGAACAGCAUAGGAGGUGUUUAUAUAGAGAAACAAAGGAAAAAAAAGAUUUACAAUAUUCUUAGAUACAGGAGAAAGCUGAGUUGCCAAAAAAAUAAUAUCUUAAUUUUGAAUCAACAAAAUUCAAAACUAUAAUUACCUUUCAUUUUCUUCAUACGUAGAAAGUACUAUAUAAGAUAGAUAUAAUUUUUAUUUUCCAACAUAAAAUAGAGCAAUUUAUAUUCUGUUUGUCAUUAAGUUUCCUUCGACAUCCACUGGCCCUACAAAACCACUUUAGUACUCAAACUUCGUGGGGGUCAGAUAAGGUCACUCCCACCAAAGUUGAAACAAAGACAACCCAUUUUUCUGCAAUCAAACCUGUUUUCUAAUCAGGGUUUUAGCUUAAGAUGGAAAUUAUUAAUGAUUUCAAUACUAUGGGAACAAAAUCAGACCACGACUAAGAUUGUACAGAUUUGGGAAAAUAUGAAAUUGAACACGUCACAUAUUAUUCAAUCUGAGUAGGCAAAAAGCCUCUCCAACUAAUUAAAAUGUUUUGCCUUAUCGAAGUUUGGAUAAUGUUUGAUUUAUUGUCACAUCGGCUAAAGCGGAGAAAACGUGAGUUUAACGGCCUUUUACAGCAAAGUUAUAGCAUGUGAACACUCAGAAAUAAUGUAGCAGCUCUGGUUUUUUUUUUUUUUUUUUUUUAUCAAAUAACUAUAUUUAAAAUUUAUUAAUUGCAUGAGAUUUGAUAAUUUAAAAUAUAAUAUUAUGAUAUGAUAUAAUAAUAAUAAAAAUAUUAUAAAAAGAAUAUGAUUUAAAAUUUUUAAAAAAUUAUACAUGAUUUAAUAAAAUAAAAACAUAUAUUUUAUAUUUUUAUAUCAAUAUAAAUUAUAAUACAUAAAUUUUAUAUAAAAUACGAUACGAAUAUAUAAAUUAUUAAUAUUUUAUAUAAUACAAAUAAAUAAAUUAUCAAAUUUACUACUAAAAAAAGGGUACAUCUAACAUAAAUUAAUGGUCAAUUACAUCUCCUGUUCUUUAUUCUUUACUCUCUAUUGCACUCAACAAGAGCUAAAGUAAAAAAGGGAGAAAAAAAAAUCAAAGUAUAGCACUCAACAAAGAACAUGAGAAAAAAAAAAAAAAAAAAAGAAAGAAAUCAGCAAAGUAGGAAUAUUGUGGAUAUGAUUGACUUUUUGAAAUAUUCCUUCAAUCAUUAACUGUUACAAAAAGAUUAAUCCAUGUAGUAAUGAUUUUGGUAAGAACAAGGGAUUGGAGAAUGAAUGGAUUAUUAUAAUAAAAUUGAAAAAAAUAAGUAAUCAAUAAUUAAGGUGUAGUCACUAUUUAUGAACAUGAAAAAUGUGAGCUCACCUCAUGAAUAAUUUUAUAAUUCAAAUCCAUUAUAAAUCAUAUAUUUUUUGUACUAAAAUUAAGUUAUAAUAAUAUUUUAUUAUCGCAUGUAAUGUGAAACUUUAACAAAGUUUAAUUCGAAUAAUUUUAUAAAUGGAAUCCAUUUAUUCAAAAACUAAAAAAAAUUAUUAUUAUCGAUAAAAAUUUUCGUCGAUCGUAAAUAAAUUAACAUUAUUGCUUAGUAACAUUAUUGCCCUGAUUUUCCAACAACUUAACAAAGUUAUGUGUUAAAAGACAUACUAUACCAUGAUGGAUGUGUCCUUUUACAAUCAGUGUGGAAUUUUCACUUUGCUUUUACAAAAGUGAAUGGAAGUUCUCUUUGGAAACAUCCUAAAAGCAUAAAUGUUUAGAAAAAAAAAAAUUGGAACUCAAAAAAUUAAAGAGUAAGAGAACAAAAUUACAAAAGAAAUAGUGAAAAGUUAAAAAAAAGAAAAAAGAAACAAGGUUUCCUGUUUCAAAUUCUAUAAAACAAAUAAAAUUCCAUAGAGAACUUUUCCCUCACGAAUGAUGUGAAUAACUUUUCCACCAAUGGAGUGGAGUGGAGUGCUUUGUGGGGUUUUCUCACUUUCUCACUUUUGAUUGUUCUUGGCAGAUAUAAACAUCGGCGUUUUAUUUUUAGUAAUAAUUGAUGUGAAAUACAUCAAAUCAAAGUCACGAAAAAACAAACCCUGGCAGACGGCCAAUGUCUCCUAAACAUUGGAUUGCAAAAACUGGUAGCUUGAGCAAAAAUUUCUGAACCCCCCGUUGCCAAUUGACUUGUCCAAUUGCCAACUGCAAAAAAAAAAAAAAAAAGGGCAAUCUUCCUCUCUCAAAGAACUUGGGUACAAAAAGGAAAACCAACAACGGUAAGUGAAAUUACCUUUGGGGCAUUCAAAUAAGGUUGGCUUGACCCAAAUAUAAUACCAGUGAAUUUUGUUUUUAGUAUGAUGAAAUGGGUCAAGUCUUGCAAAUCGGGGAACCCUAGUUAGAGGCUGGUUGGGACAAAGUGACAUGGGUUAGUUUAGUAGUUAAUAAGGGCUAGUCAUUAUCCAAAAGGUUUCUGCUGUAAUCUUCGAUAAAUUAUGGGAUUGUGUGGGUCCCCAUGAACCAUGCAUUGGCAUUCGAUUUGAACGUGCCCAAAAUAGGGAAUGGGCGGUGAAAGCAAUCUUUUUUCUUCGGAUAAAGAUUACAAGUGUGGCGGUGAUGGUGGUGUGCAUCAGGGUUUUAGGCCGAAAAAGCUAAAAGGUAUGAAAGGACUUGCGUUUUUGAGCUUCCGUUUCUAGUAACUUCAUAAUUUGGAUUUUGUUAAUUGCAGCGUUUCCAUUUGGGUGAAACAUAUAGUUUGAAAACGUUGAAAAACAGAUGAGGAAAGCAAACUUUCAUCCAAAGCAAAGCGGUGAAAUGAGCCAUCACCUCAUUCCUUCCUUUGGUAUGGAAAAGAUUGCGUUAAUUGAUAAGUAUUACUUGGCCAUCACAGGGAUAAGGAAACAGAUAGAAGGAGCUGCAGUGCAAUAUGUAACUCUGAAGUCAACACAUUACACAUUUUUAAUGAUCCCUACUUCCAUGUCUGAAGAAAGAAAAAAAAACCCAAAAAUUAAUUGAAAAAAAAGGUCAACGAAAUUAAACAUUCAUAACAUGGGCAAGAAAACCACUAGAGGGGUUGAUGAUGGGAAUGGGGUUCAAUGUCUCCCCUUGAAAGAGUUUGACUUAGGAGGCAGGGGAACAGACCCCACAGCCUUUGCAUAGUCUUACCAGGGUUCAAUCUUUUGUUGCUGGUUAUGCUUAUCUGGCAAUGAUGGAAGAAGCUAUAGCUGAAUUUAAAGAAAAUGUUUAUGAACACGUUAUUUCUUUUGUAAUAAACAGCAAUCAACGACCUUGAGAGCUGGGGAUUCUCUUAGACAUAAAAAGAUAGCCGUUACUAGUUGCUUAGACAUUUUGUCUUUAUCUUCACAUGAUCUCAGCUGUCAAUUUGCUCUAAAUAUAUAUAAUGUCCGACGACUUAGCGGUGUUCAUGGUUUUCUCGGCUUCAAAUUUUAUGUUAUGGCCAUGAAUUGAUGAUUUAAUCAAUUAAAGUGGAGCUCCUUCAAAGCCAACCACUAUCGAAUCACGUUACUUCUUCUAAAAUUCAAUAACCAUGCAUUUUUCUUUUCAUUUUCACCUAAUAGGGGAUUUUCCCCUUUACAAGAAGCAACAUUUUGUUGAUAAAAACACUGUCGUUUGAUUUUUUUAACAAAAGAAAUUAUAAUUUAAAUAUAAAAAAUCUUAAAUAUUGAUAUUUAAAGUUUAAAUUUAUUAUAAUUAUUUUUUAAAAAUGAUAGUAUAAAUAAAUUAAAUAUUAUAUUAUAUUCAUCUUAAUCUAUUUCUUAAAAAUUUCAAAUCAAAUUCCUUUCUUAAAAUAAUGGUAUUAUAUAUAAAUGCGUACCAGGCAACGUACACAUUCUGUAAAAUUUAUUUAAUAUAAUUAUUUCUAUAUUAAUCAUCAUUGUCAAUGCUUCUAAUAUUAAGAUUAAUUUUUGGUUUUCUGGUAAUAUAAUAAGAACAUAUGCCAACAAAGUGCUCUUAUUUUAAUGUAUGUUUAAUUUUGUGUUUAAUCAUCUAUUAAUUAAAUAUGGGUUUCCUCUCCUUGUCACGGGAAAGGGAAUUUGAUAGUGAUAAAUAAUAAAAAAAAACUACAUUAAAAUAAUGGUUUAUGUUGUGAAUAUUGGGUGGCAACUUUUCUUGCUUAGAGGGAAAACAAAUAAGGUUAGCAGUCGGAACAAGUACGAUAGAUUUCGAUUCGAUUUAAUUUUGUAAGAUUAAUUUUUUUUUAAAUUAGAUUUUAACUCAAGUUGGAUAUUAUUAAAAAAAAAUAAAAUUGAAUCGGAUUUAGAUUUUAGAUAAAUUUGAUUCGAUUCGAUUUGAUAUUUAUAUUAAAAAUUAUUUUUUAAUUUUUUAUUUAUAUAUAAUUAUAUAUUUAUAUUUAAAAAAUAAAUAUUUUAUUAAUUUCGAGUCGAGUAUGAUUUAUGCAAUAUCAAAUUUUAAGUCAAAUUCAAAAAUUAAAAAAUAAAAAAAAAUUAAGUCAAAUACAGAUACAAAUUUUAUGAUUAUAAAAUUGAAUUAGAUUCAAGACGAAUAAAAACUCACGUCCAUCUGAUUCGUUGUCAAUCCUAAAAAUAAACAUCAUAUUGGGUUAAUGUUUUCUCAAGUUUUUGGUAACAAGGGUAAUUACAACAUAGAAAAGGACACCCCCUACCUUUAUUAUGGACAAAUCAAAUUUUGCUUUGUUGUUGCUUCCAAUUUUGCCGAAAAGGAUUGGAUCAAAUAACAAACCCAUAUGCUUGGUUUCCAUUUUCUUAUUUAAACAAAAUUGGAAAUUAUAUAGAUUUAGGCCUUUGAUUGCGGAGAGAAAUGAAAGAACAGGAGAAAAUUAAUCUAUUGAGGAUGGAAAAAUAUAAAGUUUAAUUCUCCUAUAGAAUGUGUGACAGCUAGCUUGAUUUGAUCCUGGUUCAGCAUUAAAAAUGGAGUGAAAUCCUUAAUUGACUCCUCCAAUACGAGAAGGGCCACUCUGGGACCUUGACCAUGAACGUUUACAACACAUGAAAUUACAUACCUGACAUAAUUAAGUAAAGAAAAUGAAGAGCAAAGCAUAUUUGCACAUGUUAUUGGCUUAAUUGGUGGGUUCUUUGAAAGGAGAAUUAAACUCGUAGUGGUGACCAACAUUUCUUGUAUUUUUUUUUUUUCUGGAGUGACCUAGAUAUUUCCGAGUGAGAUCCAACUUAAAUUAUCUAUCUUGUGGGCUUAUUUUUUCUUCGUUUGUCUUCACUUGUAUAAUUGUUGUAAUGUUCAUGGAAUAGCUUUGUUUUUGUAACUUCCAGGGCAAAAAAACGAUAAGAUAAUCAAAAUAUCAUGCAUGGGACCUCCAAAGAUGGAUCCAAUAGCAAUAUGGUUAUUAUGAUUGCUUCAAUUUUGAAAGACACAGCUUACCAGAAAGUUCCUUAACUAAACUUCUGUCAUUGUGUUAUUGGAUUGAAUCACAAUAUUAUUUGCAAUAACAUGCUUUAAAAGAUAAAAACUUAAGAAUGAUUGCAUAAUUUAAGAGAUAAAAACUAAAAAAUGUGAACAUGCAAACUUCCAAGCAACAAUUUGGAAUUUGUUUUACUUUUUUCAUUUUUUUUUUUUAAAGUAGUUUCUCCAUUUUAAAGUAGUUUUUUUUUUUAUAUUUGCAGAGCAAAGCCCAUUUCAGAAGUAAAGAACUCAGUCCAUUUCAGUGUCAGACUUUAGUCAGUUUUUGGAUAAAGCAUAAAUCUAAGAUAAAAUCAAUUAAUUCGUCAGUUUUUGCAAGUGAAAACACUGCCAACUGGUCAAAAGCCUGCAGGGCAGCAUGAUUAUUGAAUGAAAAUGAAUGAAUUGGUAAUGUGGAAGAAAAACCAAAAUUUUUCGACGGCACUCGAAUCUGUAGACCUUGUAAUGUUUAUGUAGCAAUUCCACUACGAGCACCCACAGACCUGUUGCCUUAAAUGCCACUGGUAUCCCUCCCGAAAAUAAAACGCCUUACCCAGUCUGAGACCACCAAUGCCCUUGUGCGCCAGCUUACUUGCUUGCUGAGUUUAAAGAACAGGAAUAAAUUUUAGAUUGGUUUCCUAAACGUUUCAUGAAGUUUUUAUGAUGCACUCAGACUCACCAAUUCAAUUUCCAAAAAAAUAUAUCAUCGAAGUUUAUAAAAGCAAAAAGCUCAGAAUAGAAACCACUUAAUACCUUGCAUAGACAGAAUACCAGAGCCACUGCGAGCUGUGUCCAAUAGAAACCCAAUCACCAGGAAGUUGUGCAGCUGUUUGCUCCCCUCCCAAAGGAGCAAAUUGUCCCAAGUGCCUGUACCUGAAAGAAGAUCACCGGUUCUUAUGGUAAGGGUAUUAUUUCCCUUGGUUGUAAGACAACAUUGUAUGUGAGAUAUAUUGAUCUCUUUCCCAAGCCAGUAAGAUUGAAUGAUCUCAUCUCUAAAUAUCAUCUUAGACAGGUAAUAAGCCAUACGUGUUCAUAGAUUAUGCCAUCUACUUUUGAAUUGAACUACAACAAUGUCUUAUCGGAGAUGUUACUGGUUUGUAGACUUGUAAUCCUAUUUGCUAGAAACCAUGAAUUUAAAAACAGCACCAAAGACACAUGGAGAAGAGAGAAUGUGCACAGACAGGAUAGACGUUCAAUUUGUUACCUAAAGGGAUGGAAUCGAUGGCGACCUGUUCCUCUGAACCUAGGGGGACCUUCAGGAUUCUUUUCACACUCUUCCAUACGGUUGAAGCACUUAGCAAGAUAGGCACCUUGCUGGUUUGCAACCUGAAACAUUGGCAGAUGUUGAAUGUAUAUGUAUUUUCUUGGAAAGAAAAUAUUGGUCUGAAUGUGCUAUAAAUUAAAAUAAUUACCUGUGCUGUUGCAGGAAGAUUCUUCAUCUGAGAAUCAACUGUAGAAAGAGCUGAUUUAAACUGUUCAAUAUUCAGUUCAAUGGAUUCUUUUGCAGCAUCCCUUUUGGCUUCCUUCAAAAGAUCAAAAAUGUUACGCACUUGCUUGCUCUUUAGAUAAAGCUCCACUUGAGGGUAUCUUUCACAAAUAUCAUCAAUGAUUUCUUGAAAUUCUUUGACUGUCAGUGUUCCCGAGUUGUCCUUGUCUGCCUUUUUAAAUAUUUCUGAUAUAUCUUCCUAAAAUUGUUUGGAAUUUAGAAGAGAAAGAAGAAAGAAAAUAAAUACUAGCAAUAACCGAAAACUCAUAAAGGAAUGGCAAAGUUUUACAAACAAGUACCAUGACUUUCCGUUGGUUAAUAGUUGCACAGUCACCAAGUGCAUAAAUGUUAUCAAAUCCCUCAACUCGCAGCCAUUCAUCAGUUGCUAAAGCACGCCUGUUACCCUGUUCCCACAGAAGACAUACUGGUUCAGUUAGAAAAGUGAAAAACUAACUUGCAUGAGUGACAAUGGAAGGACAAUGAAGGAUGAAAAGUAUUCAAUGUGAUGAGUUCCUAGGUCCAGAAGUAUUUCACCUGACCAAUUUGCUUCAUAAAUUCCUUUAUGAGAGGACGUGGCCCAAUGCCAGUUGACCAGAGAACCAUUCCAUAUGGUGUAGAAGUUGGUCCACCAUUACCUCUUGCUCUUGUAGAAAUUUCAUUAUCACCUACUUUUGUGACCGUUGACCCUAGUUUCACAUCAAUGCCCCCUCUUCCAAAUUUCUCCUCGGCAAAAUUUGUGAUUCUUUUGUCAAACCUGAAAGCAAGAAUGUCUUAAAAGCUUGAGAAAACUUCAUAUUGUAAACUAAAUACCUCGAAAAACCUUGAAUAUAAAGAAUCCAGAAUCUUUUCAAUGUUAAUAUGAGCAAAAACACUAAAGCUUCUUAGAGAUGCCAGCCAUCAGGAUAAUAAUAAUGAUGGAAAACAAAGUGCUACUUAUUUAUACAGAGGAUUUGAACAUUCGCUUUCUUACAUGUUCAGAACAUGAUCUGUAGCCUCAAGAAGUGUUAUUUUCACAAAGUGUUGGACCAUUGGAUAUAGUUUGACCACGUCCUGAUUAACAAAAUCAUGAAGUUCUGCAGCAAAUUCCACACCUGUAGGGCCUCCUCCAACAAUCACAAAGUGGAGGAUUUUCUUUCUCUCCUCAUCACUUAAAUUUGGUAGGCUUGCCUUCUCAAAGGACUCAAUAACAUUCUUACGAAUCUUCUGAGCAUCAUCAAUUUCCUGCACAAAGAAUCAUCCUGCUUAAAAUGAAAAGAAAAGAAAACAAAAAUACAGGAAUAAGAGAAAGAAAAUGGCUCCUAUCACCAUGUUUUCCCAAUCCCUACAGCAGCAUUCCGGUAACUCCAUCAGGUUAGCAAAAGACAAUAAAUUGAAAAAAAAAAAAAAAGAAGGAAAAAUGAAGUCACCUUUAAGAAAUGACAAUUUUCUUCGACACCAGGAGUAUUAAAGGUGUUAACCUGAGCUCCCACAGCUAUAAUAAGGUAGUCAUAUUCUACUAAAAACUCUUCUUCUCCCUUGGAAUUGGAAUUUAUAGUAGCACGACAGUAAAUUUUCUUAUUUUCUGAAUCUAUCUUGAAACAUUCGGCUUCAGAGAAACUUAUGUCAACAUUUUUCUGCUCAAGCAUGAAUAAGGAAAACCAUCUUCAGCAUUCAUUUACAAAUGGUUUUCUGAAUUUCACAACAUAUAUCAUAUUAUUUUUCAUGGUCAAUAUACAAUACCUUUCUGAUGAUGUUGCGAAUUGGCUCAACAAUGCUGCGAGGUUCUACUUUACCGCAUGUAACACUCGGUAGCAAUGGGGUAAAAACAAAGAAAUUACGAGGAGACACAACUUCCACCUCAUAAGUAGGAUUAUUGAGAUUCUUCAAGAAACUCAUUCCUGCCCAACCAGUUCCAAGCAGCACCACCUUCUUUUUCUUGGGAACUACUGGAGAUGAAGCAAUACCAUGCGCAUCAUUGGAUGUGAUUGCAUCAGCAUGAGCAACAUGGCCCUUAACGCCAUUGUUUGUGUUUGCCUCAACAUAAGCUAUAAGGCUUCCACCACUGCACAAAAUGCAAUAGGCUUAAACCAAUUUGUAUUUACAUUUUUUUUCUUUUUUUUUUAAUUCUUAAUCCAAAUUCCCUUUCCUUUGCCAUUUUAAUGAUCCAAACAAAGCCUUAAUUCUCCUACGAUUUCUAUGAUUGAUUGCUCCAGAGGAUCAACAAAAUGGAAAGAGCUUAGAACUCAGUUUUCCGCUUCAGGUUAUUCACUACUUCAAAUUCUCUCUCACUAGCCAUUCUCCUCAGAUCAACAGAGUUGCUCUGUUUUCAGAGUUUUGACAGACAAUUUCAAAGAUCCAAACUUUUUAUGCCAACUUCAGCCCAAAAUACCGAAUCUACUCAUCAGUUAUCGGAUCCACCCAAAAAACAAGCUUAUCUAAACGCAGAGAAAAUCUACUCACAAUGAGAACAUGAAGAAAUCAGCCCUUAAAUGAUCAAAUCAGAAAUAGCAAGCAGCACUUGCAAAACGAACAAAACAAGCUAAUGGAAACAAAAGCAAAUCAAAUAUUUGUAUAAACAUAACAAAAUUGAAAUAUAUAUAUAUAUAUAUAUAGAAAGAAAUAGCGAUGGACCAGAGCAGAGCACCUGAUUGUAGAGACGACGAUGAUCUUAGAAAGAGAAGGGUAGUCCUGGAAAGCACUAGAUAAUCUCCCGAACAAGUUGAAGCUUCUCAUUUUCUUGCUCCUUAGAUCUGUUGUUAAACUAUAACCACGAAAUCUGGAGAAAAGGAGAAAAGAAUGAAACAGACAAGAUCAGGGACGUUGCUUCUUUUGAAGAGAUAGGCAACAACAGAAGAAGAAGACGAGUUGGAGAAAGAGAAAAAAUCGGAAGCCAAGUCAAUGGGAAACGAGAGGUGCGUGGCGCUGUCACGAUGGUUCCAGCUCUUUGCCAUUGGAAGUGAGCCAAAGGCGACAUGUCAUAUUUUUUGUGUUCUGCAUGGACGAUGGACCUGUUCAAGUUUUUUAUAACUUUUUUUUAAUUAGGGUUUUCUUUUCAUGAUGAUUUAACAUUUUAUGCAAUCCUUUAAAGCACAUCAAAUUUAGCAAAAAUCUAAUCAGAGCUCAUCAAUGGAACAGUAUUCUACACUGCUUAUGAUCUAAUAUUUUAUGGCUAAAGAUAAGCUCUGUUCGGAACAGACCAACCAUGUAAAAUCAGACUCGAAAUUGCAUAGCAUAACGCCAUAUCCUCACAUUGAGCCUCCUGUAAAUCAUGAACACUUCGAUUUAGUUCAGCUUUGGACUAUCCUCUUAGGGCUGAAGCCAAUACCAAUCAUUUAUCAAGCCGCAAAAAAAUGUGCACCAUUCGAGAUCAGGAGCAAUGUCUACAAAAGGUAGAAAUUUGUAAAAUGAAUUGUUUUCAGUAUGUAUGCCCUUUCCAUUGCACUAAGAAUAAAAAAAGAGAACCAUUUUUUUCUGGUCAUACAUCUGCACAAUUUGACACAAAACCAUGGAUGAUUUAUUUUAGUUUUCUCUGUUUCUGUAUUUCACAUCUCUAUCACCCCAAUUUUCAUGAAUUUCUUGGGUACAAAUAAGACUCGAACAUGGCAUUUAGGCCCAUUCACCAAGGGCUCUCUGUCUUCCGGUAUUCUCUCAUUUUUUAACCAUCUCUGGGUCUUGUCACCCCCAUUAAAACUGUUGGGUUUAUGGACUAAUUGUACUUUAAACAUUGAUAUAAUACAAACAGUAAUCCCUCACCAAAAGAAUCCAACAUCCCAUUCCAAUUCCCAAGACCUCAAAUCUCUCGCUAUAGAACUUUUUUUUUUUUUUUCUUUUUUUUUACUUUAACCUUUAAUUAAUUUGAUUAAUGCAACAUUAGCUGAACCUAACCCAUAAGAGAAGAAUUAUCAAUCUCGAUAAAAUUCUCUUCUCUAUGAAUAUCCAAAUCUUUCCUAUCGAAAGCUAUCUCAAUCAACCCUUCUCUAUCUUCCUCUUCCCAUCUGUAACAUAUCUUCUCCGACGGAAUCUAUUCUCCGAUGGCCGGAAAAUCUGUCUCCAAUGAAGAAGAACUAUCCGAGUCAGAUUCCGGGUAGUAAAGUGAUAACGAAGGGUACCUCUCAAUACCAUAGGUCGGAUUCGGCUCAUUCUCAUUCGGAUCCUCUCCUCCUUCAUAUAUAACUUUGAGCGGUGCUCUCACGUCCCAUUCAACGAACUUUUCUUCGAAACUCUGCAUUAUAGGCUCUGGGUCUUUUUUGCAUGUGACCGAUAUGAGCUCUUGUUGUGAAAAUUCUGUUUUUUCUGCUUCAGCAUCAGCGACGCUUCUUUUUAUUUGGUUUCAGCUUGGAUUCUUUGAACGGCACCAGGACGAAGGAGAGAAAGCAAGAGAGAAGCAGUUAAAAUAAGGACAGGAGAGAAGAGGAUUUUGAGAGAAAAGCUUUGAGGGCAAUAAAGAAGAAUUAAAAUCUAAAGAGUGAUAAUGCAGGAGAAAAGAGGAUCAUUUGAGGAGUAAAAAGAAAGAUUAGAAACUGUUUUUGAAGAAGAAACCAUGGUAAUAUUUUCAAUCGAUUUCAAAUACUCCCAAGGAUUCCCAUUCCAAUUCUCAUUCUCGUUUUAUUCCAUAAAGAUAAACAAGUAGAACCGCAAAAAAUAAAACUUAGCAGGGGUUCUUAAACGGGGACUGCUUGACUGUUUUUUCACUCCUUUUGACAAGUCUUUGCUUUAGCUCUUUUGGGGACUGUUUAAGAGCGAGGCAUGGAAUAUAUAUGCAAAGUGUUGCGAAUGUGUAAUUACCGAGAUGACCUUUGUAAAUCUAAUUUCAGAAUAAAAAUGGACAAAAGAUCUUGCAAUAUCAAUCUUAAAAGAUGGUUAAUCCGCUUACAUUGUUUGUGUCCAAUUCCAUGGAUUUAAUCAGUGUACCAAGACAUGAAACAGAGUUACGAGAGUUUGAACCAUUUUGGACCUGUUCAUCACUCCCAAUUCCAGGGUUCUUACUACUUAAACACUUCUUUUUUAUUGAAAUAGUAACUUACUUAAACUACAUAUCAAUAUUUGCCUUUUUUUGUUUUUACAAAGGUAAUUAAUAGGCUGUUUUUGGACAAUUCUAUUAUCAUAAAUAUGCAGCAUGACCAUGGAUGAUGAGCUGAUGGCCUCUGCCGGUAGAUUAUCAGUUCUCUUCAUCUCUUGCACCAGAUCAUGGACAAUGGAGCCUGUCAGAUCCAACUAUAUAUAUCUGACAAAAUUAAAUGAACAUUUUUCCCUUAUUUUCAUUUUAGUAUAAUAUUUAGUUUCCCCUCCAAUGCCGACACGUGAUUCAUAUGGCAUCUGAAAUGGCAAAAAGAGGUCCAUAAUUAAUUAAAGAAACAUAAGUUGACAGCAAACAUUCAGGCCAAUAACAAUAUAAAUGAAGAAAUAAAGCAAGGGAAGCUGUUCAAAUUAAAUAAAAACUAGGGACAGUCGAUUGGAGGUUGGAAACAAUAUUAGUGCAGGUGUUGGAAAUAUUGGUUUUGUGGGGGCUAUGAUCUUUGCAAAAAUAAUUUCUUCCUUUUUCCCCCCUUUCAUUCACUUAGUUACACAAAAUCCAUUGCCUCCUGGUCAUCUUUCUUUUCAUUUCCUAAUAAUGGUUUUCAUCUUUCUUUUCAUUUCCGAUUCUUAUCUCACCCUCUCCCCCUCUUUUUUUUUUUCCUUUUUUUUGCUGUCUUUCUAUUCCCUGACAAAACCUGGAGUAUUACUGUACUUGUUGAUGUAUAUCUGUAUCUUUUCAGAAACCCUUUCAGAUAAUCCUGCUUAAGUUUUAAUUGCUUAAAAGUAAAAUUUGAUACAUUACACGUUUAAUUCAAUGCAAGUAGGCAAUAAGAGAUAAAAAUUUUUGAAAACAGUUUUGAUUAAAUUUGGUAACAUUGGUUACAUGCAUACAUUGGCAUAUAGUUUUCUCUAUUAGGCCCUUAUGUAUCACCUGAUAGAAACUGAAAAACAACCAGAUCGUUAGUUUGAAUAUGACUAAAGGCUAUAACCAAAUUAUACACAGCUGAUAAUAUCCUUCCUCCAAACCAGAGUCCAAAGUAACUUUCUACUCCAUUUUUUUACAAAGAUGAACAGCCUGAUGGUGACAACUUCUGUUUAAUCAAUACAUGCUCCAUCCCUCUACCAUUUGCUUGCCUGUUGAUCAGCUGCUCUAAUUCUUGAUUAAGAAAACAGUUUGUAAUUGCCAUAAACAGCAGUAUAAUCUUUAUUAGCUAGUCUCUGAUAAUAAUCUGCCAAGUGUUAAAGUUGCUCAACAAGGGACAGAUUUAUUUAAACAGGGAGGUUUUUGCCUCAAAAAAAGUGCUAUAUAGGAUUUAGACAUUCGAGAUCAAAGGUUUCAGGUGCAUUUCUUGAUCAAUAGCCAAAUUAGGUACGUGAGAAGACCAGCUGAAUGAUACCGUGGGCGGUCCUAUCACAAAAUGGGAUUAUAGGAAUAUCGUCUGCAAUAGCUAAAUAAGAAAGAUUCAUCAAAACUAACACCCUACUUUAUAUUGUUGCCUUUUUUUUUUAAAUAAAUUUGGAGGGAGCCUAAGUCUAACUAUCAAGGAUUUUAUCCACAUGAUUUCGGUGAGUUAACCCUCAAGUUAGUCAACUGCUAAAUAUUCAAAAGCUUGCUUAAAAUAAGAGCAUUAAAAGAGAAUCCAUUUCUAUGGCAAACCACAAUAUAUAUAUAUAUAUAUAUAUUUAUAUAAGUAUGAACUCUAAAAAUAAUAAUAGUGAAUGAGCAAAAUACCCUUAGUAAAAUUUUUAAUAAAUUUUAAUUAAAAUGACUUUUUAUUAUUAAAUUUCUAUUGAAAUAAAUUAUAAUUUGAACUUUUUUUAUUAUUAAACUUCUUAAAAAUUGUAAUUUAAACUUUUUUUAUUAUUAGACUUUUAUACAAAAAAUAAAUAAAUAUUCAAACUCCUUUAAAGAAACUAGUUUGCAAUAUCAACAAGCAAUCUUCUUUUUUACAUUAAUAUCAGAUUUUUCACUGUCCCUAUUCAAGUAACUUUGCAAAUUAUAUAACUUUUAAUUAAAGUUAAUUAAUUUAAUUGUUUUUUCUUUGAAUUUCAAAGUGGUUAAUGUUUAGGCUUCUUUUAUUGAACUAAAUACAAAUAUAUAGUUACAAGGAAUGUUUGUAUGCUAUGAUUUUUGUAUAGGUAAACAGCUAACAAAUUGUAAGAGAUGAAAGUUCCAAGUAGUUCUUUCAUUACUAUUAAGUACUGUCAUUACCAAAUACUAAAGUCAACUGUAUACUUACAUUAGAAGAUUAUAUAUAUCACUCUUAAGAUUGAGAUUUUUUUAUUGCAUAUAAAUGAAUUUGGAGAAAAUCAAAACUAAAAUUCUUUAGGUCAUCAUUAUAUACCUUAAUGAAUAUAAACAUCACUUUCAUGCUAAUACAUUAAAAAUUAUAAUUAUAACUUAAUAAUACUACGAAAAAUACUUUUGACUUUUCUUUGUUAGAUUCAAAGAAGAGAAAAGGAUGGUUUUCGCCUUAUAUAAAGAUAGAUCCACAUAGUGAUAACCAUCAAGAACAAAAAGCAAAAGAAAUAGACUCCUCAAUUCUAUUGCUCAAACUAUACAUGAAUCCCCUUGAUAUGCCUAUACAAUUAGCAAUACUUGAGAAGAGUCACCUGGUAUUUGGAAAGAAAUAUAAUCAAUAAACCCAUGUUCAUGAAUUUAAUAAGAUGAUAAGAUAUGUAGCAUUUACAACUUUCAUUUAAAUAUAAAAACUGCAUAUAAAUAUUUCUCUUCCUAAAUAAAUAGUCUAGUUAGUCAAAAGCUCUAAUAACAUUGCUCCAGGAAGGCCAAAUAAAACACCAAAGGCACCAACAGAAAUGUUAUGCUAAAUGAAAAUAGAAGAUAGUAUGCUCUCACUAAAACCAGACAAUAGGUAGAUAAACCCAACAUGCACUGCCAAGGGAAAGAACACAUAUCAAAUAUAACACUGUGAUGGGCCAAAUCACUUUCAAGGUAGAUAUCAAAAGAAAAAUCCGAAAGUAAAAUUUACGAAAUCUAGCAAACUCAGUACUGUUGGAAUGAACAUAUCCAUCCACCAAGUAAUGCAGUCAAUGGAUCAUCUAUAAGGCAUAUUUAUAUGAUAUUUCAUUCUGUUAACUGGUUAAGAUUGACCAAAAACUUAAACUUCGAAAUGUCACAUAUUCCAAAACAUAUUAUAUUAUAACGUAGAAUUUCCUAGGAGAAAAUUUGGAAUAAUUAAUCAAACAUUAAAAAAAAAAAAAGAAAGAGAUAAUGUAUCAAAUCCAAAUUAUUGUUCAAGGCGUAUUCUAAUGAAGACCAAGCUCAACAUGUUUGCUAGCAGAUGAAUAAUACCUACAUGAAGCUAGAUGCAAGGGCUUUCUUGUAAUAUGUUACUGAUAUAAGAAGACUUAAAGACAUAGAUGUUGGUGAAAUACGGCAAAAAAGCAAUGCAAAUAAAAUGAAGAUGGAAAGGCUAAAUUAUUAUAUAUAUUAGUGUGAUUCCAGUGAAAACCUAUUUUCUCGGAAUUACUAAUCAUUCACAUAAAGUUCUGCUUCAACAAUCAAUCAUUUAUAUUUACAUUUACAUUAUUCCUAUGCAUAUUUAGGAGUUAGCAAAAUAUGGUGUGUGCUUUAACCAUGAUAAAAUCUCUAUUAACAACAUAUUCUUUCAAUGAUUAAAAAUUAAACUGUUGGUGCACAAAACAUCUACCCACAUACAUCAUACAUCUAUCAUACAUCUAUUAGAGAUGCAUGCAUAAGUUUACAUUCGUGCAUAUCAUAUGUAUGUGUUGUUAAAUUAACAAUCAUUGAUGGAGAUUUAAUACUAAGUAUGCCACCUGAUAAGUACUAAACUAAGAAAGUUUUACGUUUUUACAUCCUUAAUAAACAGAUUCAACAUCAUUCAAAUUUAUUAUAAUUCAAAUUUAAUAUGCAUAAUGUCAUUAUCAUUAAAAAAUUUAGAUCAAAUUAGACAUCAAACAAUAUUUUUUAAGUGAAAACUUUUAUGUGAUUUUUUUGCAAAACUUAUGCAUGUUUAUCUUUUGGUUUUUUUGUGUCAAAAUUCUUCUCUUCUUUGCAGACAAGUAGUCGGCUUAUUUCCAUGGCAAAAUUGUCUGCUCAUUGCUUGGAAUUUCUUGCAUCCAAUUUAGCCUGAAAUCAAUAAGAAAAGUUACACAUCGAUAAAUUCUUCUAAGGUGAAACGAAAUUUAUUGGAACAUGACAAGAUAUCAAGGUUAGAAGUUUAUUUUAUUUUAUUUUUUAAAAUUAUGUAUUUUAAUAUUUAAAUAUAAUAAAAAUUUAUGUAUAACAAAAUUUUUAAAUAAUAGAAGAAUUAAUCGUUCAAUGAAUAAAACAUGCAAUUACUUUCAAUCGAUGAAAUCACUGAUGGAGGAUUAUCCUAAGCAAUAAGAGACGAAAGAAUGAUUAGUUAUACAUAGCUCUAUCUUCUCCAUAUGACAAAUAAGGUUAGUUUUAUAUGAUUUUUAAAUGAAAGAUAUACAAUUUUAUUUAACUCAAUUUUCUUUAGAAUUAAUGUGAAACUAUUUUAUUAGGAGAAACUAUGUAUACUCUUUCAUUUUCUCCAUUACAUCAAUUGAAAAAAUUCUAUGUUGUAAUUAAUAUAAUGCUAAAAAGUUCCAAUAUAAGCCUCAAUAAUUUUGUUGUCAAACUGGUUAAGUGAAAUUAACUACCACUCCUAUUCUAGAAUAGUUAUACCGCCUUUUUGCAUCUCAAACUAAAUAAGCCAUUGAAUCUCGAAAGCACAUUAAAUCUUACAAUAGUAUGUUUUCAUUCACAUCAUUUGGAGUGAAAUCUUACAAUAGGAUGUUCUCAUUCACAUCAUUUGGAGUGAGGUUAGAUAAGGAUCUUGCAUCUUCAAGACAAAGUAUUUGCACUUUUCGAGCAGAAAGGCAAAUAUAUCAUGAUAUUCUAGCAUUAGUUCCAGAAGAAAUAUCCAUAUUAUUUUCAAAUAUACUUUAAUGAUAUUAAUAACGAACUUCAAAAUAGAAUGAAAACAUAGCACAAUAAAAAUUUAAGUGCAAAAGUUGUAGAGAUGCUAAUAAAAAUUCUAGAAGAAAAUCUUUAUACCCAAGUCUUACAAAGAUUAAAUGAUAUAUCUUUGUUUGAGCAUUUUAAAAUCCGUAUUGCAACAAAUGCUAAUCUAGAUCAACAAGUUUAUAAUCGUCAUCUGCUGAUCAUGUUGCUGCUAUAUGGGUUGAAGGAAACAACUCAAACAUUCCAUUGGAAAGAGAUAUCAUAGUUCUUGCUCAUUCAAGAAGACGACAUAGAGUUAAACAUUAUUUCGGUUGUUAUGACCAUUUAUAGUAUCCUUUGCUCUUUCCAAAUGGAGAAGUUGGUUGGCAUCAAAAUAUCAAGAAAGUUAUUUUUUAAUAAUGCUAAUGAGAAUGAAGCAACAAUUGGAAAUAGAUCAUCUUUUAUUCAGUAGAAGAAAUUUUUGAAGGAAAAUGUAAAGGUAAUUAUCAUGAACUUAAUAUUUUUAAAAUUAUUGUAUGUUUAAAUUUUUUAAAUGUUAUUCAUUUCUCAUUACUUUUAUCAUAUCAUAUAUAGCAAAAUUUUUAUCUAAAAUUUAUUACUUUCAUUGUUAGCAAAUCAUUUAAAAAUUUUCACUUUUUCAUAUAAAAUUAUACUUUGCUAAUUGGUAAGAAAUUAAAUAUACUAUUCAUUCAAUCAAAUCCUUAAUAAAUAUUAGCUUCUUAUGAAAAAGAUUCUAAUUUUUUAUUUUAUAAUAUCUAAUCAUACUUUGUUAAUUGUUUAUUUUUAUAUACUUGAUUAAUGUUAAUUUUAUGUUAAAAAUUCGUAACAUUAAUCUUUGAGUUACUUUAGCGUUUGUUUGAUAAUUUAUCAAUCACUUUAUAUAUAUAUAUAAUUAUAUAAGUAAUUAUUUAUAUAAUUAUUUUUAAAAAACAAUAUUUAAUAAAUUAAAAUUUUAAAUUUCGACAUUUAUAAUUAUUUUUUCAAUUUUUAUUUUUAUGCUGAAUGCAUUGACAGAAAUAUACUUUUACAGUGUUGAAAGAAAAGAGGAUCCAUCAUGCCCAAAAGAGAAAGAGACUUGAAUCUUCUUCGAAGAAGGAUUAAGGUACUUGAUUUUUCUUUUCUUUGUUUUUUUUCCUCUAUUCUUUCUCCUUUUCCCAGUUUCCCUAAUCCCAAUGGCUGUUCAAAGUUGUAAUUAAUCAUAACAGAAAGCAGGGAAAAAAGUGAAAAAGUUGAAGGCCUGGACAGCCCAGACGAUAGAGGAGAUGACUGAAUUAACAAACUCGGUGGAAAAACGUUACCAGGCAAUCGUCGAAAUCAGGGAAGUGAUUCACCCAUUAACCUUUGCUGCUGAGGCGUUGGAUGCUCAGGUACUCGAGUUCUCCCAAAUAGAAGUUGUAUUACACUCGAGCUUUGUCUUAUAGUAACUGUACUUAAAUUUUUAUUAGAUCCCACUACCGCCAUGUCAAAUGUUCUCUUUUGCACGCCAUCAAACCCACUCUCACAACAGGACAGGACAAUUCAAUAUAUAUAUAUAUAUAUAUAUACAUAGUAGUUAGGUUUUACAGCAUAUAUGAAAGGAAAGGAAACCAUUGUCUUCUUGGGCAAUUUAUCUGAAGAUUGACGAUGAAACCCAGCUACUACAGGGGAGUGAAUGGUCAUGGUCCGAAAGCACCAAAAUGCCUAGCAGGUGCCUUUAGCCGCAAUCAAAUGCCAAGCCUCCUGCCUAUACGUCCAUAAAUUGAAAAGAGCCUAACCCCAUUAGGCAUUAGCUAACUGGACCCGCAGGCGUGGAUGUGUACUGAUAACAACGCACGUGGUAUGUGUACUAAUAACUACCCAUCCUUGGUUUGGUUUGAUAUUGAAAGCAAACAAAGCGCUGGCUGAUCACUCUCUUUUAUAAAGCGAUAGUUUUGGGUCUACCACUAAAUACUAGCUUGAUUUCCAAGAAAAUAAUACAGGAUUAUGAUUGAAUGUGGUAGAACAAUGCAUUUCAACCUUAUGGUUCUCUCUGAGACUUUUUAGUGGGUAUCGGUUAAAGUAGAAUAUUUCAAUUCAAUCAUGAUAAGGUUAGGAUGUUGAGUAAGAAAAAGCAGAUCAUGAUUAUUAUUCUGUGUCAUCAAUCUGAGAAUCCACGCAUAAUCCUUUAUUCAUUACAACCAAUUCAUGAACACGUUAACCAAAAAAAUAAUAAUAAUAAACAUGAACAACAUAAAAGGUCAGGAGUGGUCAUGGCACCAAGAUUUUAUGUUGAGUGCCUGGAUGCCGGAAUUAUUCUUCAUUCGCAGGUCGACUUCUGUAUUCUUUUGUUGUGAUUUACGUUUAUCAUGCAACAUUCCCAGACAUGUGAUUAUGAUUCUCUUUGUGUAGGACUCGAGACCCUCACCUUUUCAUAAUUAAUCACUUACUGAAACUAAAUUGUCUCAAAACUGGACCAAAAGUGAAUCUUCCUAUUCAUUUAGCUCAAAUAUCAUACGUUUCUAAAAAAAUUGUGAAUGAUCAUUAAUCAACAAGCUAACCCGUAGUUGUACAUGACAGAAUUAUCUUAGCAGAAAUUUCCCUCGAUAAUGACACUGAAAGCUUCUGUACUUUACUGCAUUAACAUUGUUGUGAAGAAAUAACCAAGAGGAGAACUCAUCAACGGAGAGAGACACUUGGUUCUCAUUAUCUGCUAGUCUGAUCGAGAGCAAGAAACCAUGUUGCAAGAAAAUGCAAAGUAAAGAAACAUCAUUAAAAUCCCACGUGGCCAUGUGACUAAAUAGGCAAAGCUAUUAAAAACUCGAAAAGAGGGAGAAAAAAAAAAAAAAACAAAAUGUUUUCACAUUCCUUAUUUCUUUAGCUAUAAAGUUUCUUCAUCGUAUAUAACUAACUUAACUAGAAAAAAGGUAAACAUUAACGUAAUCAUUCAACGCGGAUUUUCUUGAUAUGAAAUUGGAAAUCCAGUUAAGGCAUUCCGGAUACAGCCAUGGAUGGUUGUAUUUUUUUUUUUUUCCAUUUUUCAAUUAAGUUUUGACUGCUGAAAUCAAGGCUUCCUUAAUUGAAGCAGAGAACAGCUUGAAUCACUAACCUUCCGAUAGCUGUCAUUAGUUCACAUAAACUUCCAGUCAAUGUAGAUGUAGAUUCACAAUUAUAAAAAAAAAAUUUUAAAUGAAAAAUCAAACCUCGGGCGGUGAACCUUUGAAUUAUGAUCCUAGUAUUUUGUCUCUUUAGAUUUUUUCCCUACAGGAAAGAACCGGUAGAUGAUUCUCUCAUUCAUUAAUCGACAUCUACAUGCAUGGUCUGUUCAUAAAUUGGAACUCUUAUUAGAUUUAUCAUUGAUUCGAGAAACUAUUUCUUGGAGUUAUUGAAUCUCUCCUAUCAAGGCAAUGAAUAUUCAUCCUCAAAUUCCUAAACAAAAUGCUUCUCUAUCAUGGAAAGCUGAAUGCCAGCAGUUUCUUAGAAGAGUUAAAACACUUUACAAUUAUUACUUCAAUGGGCAAGGACUCGCUUUCCAAUCUCCAGACAGGAGUUUAUUAAGUUGCAUUUCAAGCAAACAACAUGAUACAACAGAUCACGCAGCCGGAAUUGGUUAGCUUGUAGAACUCACCAAAAUCAGCAGCAAAAUGUAGUAAAUCCAAUAAAGCAGGGGAAAUACACAUCAAAAUAUGGAAUCUGCUUCUUUUUGCAACUUUAUAAUUCACUUUCUGAUUGGAUAAACUACUUACUGCCCAGCAAAUACAGAGCUUGGUAAGAUCAUCGUUGAUUUUUAGAGUUUCAAGAUCCAAACAUAACUAACAAAAUGUAACAAACAAAACAAAAGUCACUUAAAAUAGAAACUAGAGAGUCAACAAAUCAUUAACGUAUGAAGAAAUAUUUCUACAUUUCUUAUCUUAUUAAGCAUAAAAGAGAGCAUGCAAAAUCAGUAGUACACUCUCAUGAAAUCUCCACUUUAUCACAUCAGAAGGGUCAAGAUAGCCCUCCAAACAAAUGCAUCCGAAACUGGAAUCUCCUUUUCUUUCUCAUGUACACAAAGAUACAAACAAGCCAAAAACACAAUCUUCAAAGAAACAUUUGAAGAAAUGGCCAGACAAGAAUCUUACCCAUGUGCAAAGAUCCGACAAGCAGAUCCACUAAUCAACCCCCUUUAAAUCUACAACAACAAGCUAUUUACAAAAGUUAAUCUUCUCCGUGUCAAGCAAACAAUGCCACUGAAAUAUCAGCCAGUUUUUUCCUGUUGAUUGACCUGUGAGACCGCCACUGCCUCGGAGCAUUUGGAGGUUCAAUCUCGUCUAACUCACUUGAUUCUUCGAAAUCGAUUGAAGUUCGAAAUGCCUUGGUCUUUCUUGGUGUGCUAUAAGCAAAAUGCAACUGCUUUGCAAUUACAGUCUGAGAAAAAAGGAAAAAUCAUAGUCAAAAUCAGAUUGAAUAGUUAAGCAAGAAAUGAAAAUCUUAUAUUCCAAAUUAAACUGAAUUAUACUCACGGCUUCUCUGAUUGAUUUAGAAACAUUAAAAAGUUGCUUCAAAUCUUCAUGAUCCACACCACAAAUAAUCCUAAUCUGUAAGAAUAAAAAAAAAGUAAAUCUUUCCCAUCAAUCACAAUCUCACAAUCCAAAAAUAGAAACUAACAAAAAAAAUGAAGCUUUGGGAUUCUUAGUACUUACAAGAACAUCUUGGGGAAGUGAUUCAAGAGCAGAUUUUUCGUGGUAAUCAUCAAUUAUCAUCAUCAUGAUUCUGUCACUGCAUUGCCUUUUCAAUAAUGGAACAUUGAUUGCAGAAUCAAGAGGCAAAGAUUCCUCCUCAUUUGAUAUUCCAACCCUUUUCCUCCCCAACCCGCGACUGAAUCUCACAAACCCUAACCCUAAUCCUAACUCUUCUUCCUCAUUCACACCACCAUGCUUCAACUUCAGUGAAGAAGUACCGCAUACAGAGCCCAAACCCAUUUCCAUAACAAGCUCCAAAUGUCCAAAACAAAGCGUUAAACACUUUUAGUAAUCUGAAUCAAUCCCCCCAAAAAGAGAAACUCAAAGAUUAGAUUUUUCACUUAGAAAAUGAAAUCUAAAGAGGGAAAUCCAAAAACAGUUACUGAAAAUACCUUAGAUUCCAAAACCCAAAAAAUAAAUCUUUACAGAAGCAGAAAAGCUACACCAAAAGUGAAACUGAAUCUGGGGUUUCUUUGUUCAGAUAUAGAAAUAACAUAAAACCCUAAAUUUGAGAGAACAAAACAUAGAACUGCCGAUCAGAACAGAGUUGCUUUAAAAAUGGAAACUUCUACAUAUAUGCCGAUGAAAAAGGCGAUAUUUUUAAUUUUAAAAUAAAAAUAUCUACGCGUUUUCAGCCUUUUUUUUACCACUAGAAACUACCGGAGAAUUCCGAUAAAAAGGAUAAAUUUUUAUUUUUCUCUUUCUUUUUAGCUUCUUUUUUUUUUUUUUCUUUCCCUCGUGUGUGCCCGGGGGAUGAAAUUUAAUAUAUUAUAUUAUAGUGCCUUGGCGGUUAAAUUCGAAACUAGCCGUUGGGGAGGGAGAGAGAAAUUAUGUGAGGUAGGAAACAACUUGGGCGGUGCUGGAGAUGACGUGGAGAUAUGGUCGGACCAAGUCCGCUUUGUCGGCCCGUUUCUUCAACACGUUUGGUGUUUGUUCACCUGUGGGUGGACGUACCGAUAUCGAGUGACUCUGUCAAGGAGUCGAUCUGAUUAGAGUUCUUAUUGGUCAAGGAUGGGACACGUGUAAAAGUUCAGUGCAAACGUUCACAUGAGAGUAGGUGAGUGAAACUUUAACAGUGGCCAAUGGUUUUGUUUGACCAGUUGAUUCUAAUUCGGAGGCUGACUGCUGUUGCAGGUUUCACACGAUUUGGACGGUCAACACACGUCAAUUCUCAACACCCUUAGCUGUAAAAUUUUAAAUAAAAAAAUAACAAAUACUUUUAAAUAGUUUUUUUUUCCGAGAAAAAGUGAUGAACAAGCUUGAAUAUUGGAAGUUUCGGCCUGCUGAUUGCUUCAAAAGAAAGUAGGAAUGUUUCAUUUUCUAACAACAAAGAACAAUGCCAAAAGUGUUCUUUCGGAUGUUAUUCUAAGAUGUUUUUUAUAUGUAAAUUUAAUAAUUUAAAAUAUAAAAAUAAUAUAAAAAUAAUAUAAUUUAAAAUUUUAAUAAUUAUUAUAUAUAAAAUUAAUAAAAUUUUAAAAAUAUAUUUUAUGUUUUUAUAUUGAUAUAAAUUAUGAUACGUAAUUUUUAUAUAAAAUAUUAUAUAAAUUUUAAUAUUUUAUAUGAUAUAAAUACAUGAAUUAUAAAAUUUAAUUAUAUGAAAUUUGAUACAUAAUAUUAGAUUAGUCAUGGAUACUAAUCUCUUGUAGGAUUAAUUGGUAAGUUGUUAAAUUUAGUAUCUUAGAAAAUUUAAAAGUGUGAGAGAAACCAAAAUUAAGGAUUACUAUUAUGAGUUACAAAUGACAACUAAGAAAUAUUUCAAAAAAGAAUGACAACUAAGAAAAGAGCUGUUAUUGUAUAAAAUAGUAAUUAUAUAUAAUUCCAAUGAUUAACCUGUGAUGAAUUGGUAAUUAAAUUAGCAUGUUAAAUUAACUCUGCUACUAAGUAUGAAAGCAAUAUGUCAAUUAAAAAUUACUUUCUAUGUUAAUUAGAUUAAAAAAUCUUUGAUAUAAUAUCGUUUUUAAUAAGUGAGUGAUAAUGAAAUUAACGAUUAUCGUUAGGAUAAUGAAAUUGAAUUUAUUUGAUUAAUUUGCCUUGUAUGUUUAUGAUUGAUAAACAACUUUAACCUAUGCUAUGCAAGAAAGGAUGCAUAUGCAUUUUAAAAGAAAACACGUAUUAAAUCAAAACUGAACUUUUCUAAUAUUACUUUCUAUAUUGAUUAGAUUAAGAGAUUUUAGAUCUAAUAUCUUGUUUAACAAGUGAAUAAUAACGAAAUUAACGAUUAUCGUUAUAAUAGUUAAAUUGAAUUUGUUUUGAGUUAGAACCGAACUUUUUAAAAUUACUUUCUAUAUUGAUUAGAUUAAGAGAUUUUGGAUCUAAUAUCUUGUUUAAUGAGUGAAUAAUAACGAAAUUAACUAUUAUCGUUAUGAUAGUUGAAUUGAAUUUAUUUGAUUAAUUUUUGUAUAUGCUUAUCAGUAAACAACUUCAAGCUAUACUAUAUAUGCAAGAAAAGAAUGUAUAAGCAGUCCAAGAGAAAAUAUGCAUUAAACCAAAUACUUAUAACUUCAUUAAGACAACAUAAAUGGAAGAGCAAACAGAAACAUUUGUGAUUCUUUCAAAACAAUUCAUCAUUGUUCCAAAUUACAAUCCUAGGUCGAAAAACGCCAUUAACAAGCUAAUCUGUGUUCCCUUCGACGGGAAUUAAUGUAACUAGGCUGAAGAAAUGGAACAAGAUUGAUUUCCCACCGAACUAAUUAAAACCGGCCAUCAACAGAUAGUAAGACUGCUGGCUUAAAAACAGGUCUUGGAAUGCUUGGGAGAGGGGCUCUUAUCAGUGUCCCGAUCACAAAAACGAACUUUGGCUAAAGGAGAGACGGGGACACGCUCACAAAUCUUCCUACAAAAUAGUAUGUUCUGAACAUUCACGACCCCCUCUUUGGUAGUCUUGGGACAAACUAGAACUAAAUCCUCCAAUACUACAGCCCGUUCCAACAAAUAUUGCAGGAUCUCUAUUUCAUGAUCUUUAAACGUGAAGCUAACCAUUUUGAUAAAUUGAAGGCAUUUCAAGGGUUGAAUGUCUCGUUCAACUAAUUCACUUUGAUAUUUCCAAUUUUCUUUAGGUUCGAAAGAGAAUCCCUUAAACUGCAAAAAUUUUUGAAGUUUCAAAUACCAUGCAAGCAUUGUUUUGGAGCAUGUAAAAUUAAAUGAUUAACACAUGCUUACAUCAAUGAAAAGUUUUUCCAGGCGAGGGCAUUUCUUCAGAAAAUAGGCAAUAUGAUAUAGAUUGCAAUAUACUGCAUUUUCCAUGAACAACUGUAGUUCCUUCAACUUCCCAAAGUGAAAUCGCAAGAUUCUAUGGAAAUAUUCCGGUGAUAGAUCCUACGAGACAAGCCAAUUAGCUCUUUAAAUUCAUAUAUUCAUAUCAUGAUCAAUGAAAAUAAACUAAUGGAAGUAGUGUAUAAAAUCUUAACGCAUGUAAAUAGAUAAAGCUUGAAAUUAACACUUACCUCAAGAAGGGUAUUACUGGCAGAGAGAACAGCAAUAUGUGAGAGAUCGCAUAAGAAACUAUCUCUCCUGAAAAAUUUUUCAAUACCUUUUAGAGGCUUGAAAUUGAGGAUCACAUCAUUUAGUUGAGAAAUCUCAACAAAUUUGAAUAAAAUGAAUAUCCCACUAUAAUGGAUUGAGCGGAUUGUUGGAGCAUCAAUAUCAACCUGAUAUAAACCCAAGCAAUCACCCAAUUUUAAGGCCUUGAACCUUCUUAGAUUUUGGGCCAAAAUCCUCAAGUGACCAAUCUUACGGCACUUUACCAACUCCAAAGUCUCGAGAGACAAGCAGUUGGAAAACACUGUUUCGAGGAAUUUUGAAUUAAUUUCAAUCCUCCUUAGCACGAGAGUUUUCAGAGAAUUCAAACCUCGGAAAGUUGGUAAAAGGUCAAGUUCACAGCGGCAUAACUUCAGGAUUUUAAUUGACUCAAAAUCAGCAAAAUCUGUAGUAAUCCUGUAAGGGUCUUUUGCUAGACUGAAAUUCAAGUCCAGCUCUUCAACUUCUUUGUCGAUUGAGAUUUGAAUCCAAUUUUCAACAGCAUCUUCAACUCCUGUUGGAUCAAAAAAUAAACGAAGAGUUUGAAUGUUUUGUCCUACAUGGAGUUCAAAAACACGGUUAACAAUAUUCAAGAAAUCUUUUUGAGCAUGGCGUUUGGCAAAAUCUUUAUCGAAACACAGUUUUCGAUUAAAAAACCAAGAUUGCUUGAAUCUUGUUGCCACUGUUGAAGCUUGCACUGCCUCUUUGAUUGGCAAAAAGGAAAAGAUGUUGGUAAGGACAUCAUCAGGGACAUCAAAAGCCAGGUUAACUAAGUUGGCAUCAGUUCCACUAGGAACAUUACUAGGACGAAGACGAUGACCACGGUCACCUAGAUUUUCUCUCUUGUUUUUCUUUCGUGGGUUUGCCAGGUUCUCAAUUCCUGGAACCGCCAUAGGAUCAAAAUAUCAGAAAAAAGUUGGCCUCUCUUUCUAUGAAUUACUACUAUUUUCUGUAAAGGGACAAAAUGAUCUUAUUUUCUAGCAAAUGCAACAAGUAAAUCUAAGAAACUAUAGGAAUUGAAUACUACUCUAUCACUAGGAAGAGAGAAUUCAAGACGAAUGAAUGAAAUGUGAGAGAAGACAGCUUCAUUUAAAUAGGCGAAAGAGAAAAUAAAUUAAGAAUGAUUUCAUUUAGUGUCGAUUCGUUUUGUGUUGAGAAAAUUUUAGAUUCUAUACAAUUGGGUUUCCAUUUCUGCAGUUCUCUAGUGUACGCAAAUCAGCUAAAAAGUUCUAUCGUUUUGAGUAGGUUUGUCUUAAAAUCCUUCACCCUCUUCCUUAAUAGAGCCUUGAUAUUUUUGGCAAAUAAAAAUAAAUACCUGCAAAAUGAGCAUAAUUGGUAUGGAAAUACUAUACCUUACAUGGAUAAUAGAUAUGAAUAGGAUAACAAUUUUAAGCAUAAAUGAUAUGGUAGCAUACAAGGUUUACGCAACAAGCCACCCUGGAAAGUUAUGAUUAUUCUCUGCUUUUCACCAUAUUUGUCUGAAUAUUCUUUUUUUAGAGUUUCCAAAUGACACACACACACACACACAUAUAUAUACACACACACACACACAAGCAAAACGAUAGCAAUAGAUUUUUUACCAUAAUUUUCCCAGUAAUUUUCCCAUUGUGGAACAUCAAUGCCCUUUUAGAUAUUAUGGAAAAAAACACAAAAAUAUGGAAAGAAAAUAAAAUUUUGGAAGGAAUUUAUAUAUAGAAGAAUUUAACUUCUAUAUACAUUUUAAUUUCUAUAUCAAGAAUUUAAUACUAAAAGGCAGUAAAACAACAUUUCUGAAUAGUGGGUUAUGGUUCAAAGUUAAGGCUUGA
rnacentral:lncRNA from 1 species